GACGAACGCUGGCGGCGUGCUUAACACAUGCAGGUCGAACGAAAAGAGGGAAAGAGCUUGCUCUUUCCGGAAUUGAGUGGCAAACGGGUGAGUAACACGUAAACAACCUGCCUUCAGGAUGGGGACAACAGACGGAAACGACUGCUAAUACCGAAUAAGUUCCAAGGGCCGCAUGGCCCAUGGAAGAAAAGGUGGCCUCUACCUGUAAGCUAUCGCCUGAAGAGGGGUUUGCGUCUGAUUAGCUGGUUGGAGGGGUAACGGCCCACCAAGGCGACGAUCAGUAGCCGGUCUGAGAGGAUGAACGGCCACACUGGAACUGGGACACGGUCCAGACUCCUACGGGAGGCAGCAGUGGGGAAUCUUCCGCAAUGGGCGAAAGCCUGACGGAGCAACGCCGCGUGAGUGAUGACGGCCUUCGGGUUGUAAAACUCUGUGAUCCGGGACGAAAGGGCAGAGUGCGAAGAACAAACUGCAUUGACGGUACCGGAAAAGCAAGCCACGGCUAACUACGUG
rnacentral:rRNA from 1 species